GGGCCCGCACAAGCGGUGGAGCAUGUGGUUUAAUUCGAUGAUACGCGAGGAACCUUACCAGGGCUUAAAUGCAGAACGACCGGGAUAGAAAUAUCCCUUUCUUCGGACGGUCUGCAAGGUGCUGCAUGGUUGUCGUCAGCUCGUGCUGUGAAGUGUCGGGUUAAGUCCCAUAACGAGCGCAACCCCUAUUUCUAGUUGCCAGCGGUUCGGCCGGGGACUCUAGAGAAACUGCCAGCGUAAGCUGUGAGGAAGGUGGGGAUGACGUCAAAUCAUCACGGCCCUUACGUCCUGGGCCACACACGUGCUACAAUGGUGGGGACAACGAGUCGCAAACCCGCGAGGGUAAGCUAAUCUUCAAACCCCAUCUCAGUUCGGAUCGGAGUCUGCAACUCGACUCCGUGAAGUUGGAAUCGCUAG
rnacentral:rRNA from 1 species